CCUACGGGAGGCAGCAGUGAGGAAUAUUGGUCAAUGGGCGAGAGCCUGAACCAGCCAAGUCGCGUGAGGGAGUACUGCCCUAUGGGUUGUAAACCUCUUUUGUCGGGGAGCAAAAGCCGGACGUGUCCGGCUGUGAGAGUACCCGAAGAAAAAGCAUCGGCUAACUCCGUGCCAGCAGCCGCGGUAAUACGGAGGAUGCGAGCGUUAUCCGGAUGUAUUGGGGUUAAAGGGUGCGCAGGCGGAUUUUUAAGUCAGCGGUCAAAUCGUGGGGCUCAACCCCGUCCAGCCGUUGAAACUGGGGAUCUAGAGUGUGCGAGAGGUAUGCGGAAUGCGUGGUGUAGCGGUGAAAUGCAUAGAUAUCACGCAGAACCCCGAUUGCGAAGGCAGCAUACCGGUGCACAACUGACGCUCAGGCACGAAAGCGUGGGUAUCGAACAGGAUUAGAUACCCUAGUAGUC
rnacentral:rRNA from 1 species